rnacentral:tRNA from 1 species
GCGAUUGAAGUGUUGCUGGCCGCACGCCGCCCCGCCACGGCGGAAGCGCGGGUUCAAAUCCCGUCAAUCGCACCA